UCUCGGUGGUGUGAUCCCAGCGGAUCCUUCUGACCCUCCACUGUGGACUCAAUAGCAGAGACAUGAAGGGGAAAGUGACUGAGAGA